UCCCCAAGAAGCUGUGGGCAAUGAGGUGAGCGCGCGCCCGGCAGGAGAGCCAUGAGGACGCGCGGCUGUUCCAAGCUUCCAGUGAAGGUGGAUGUGUAUUGCAGUAUGGGAGAGACGAACAGCGCCCAGGAGUAAACACAGCUAUGAAACGGGUAAAACUAACUCCUGGAAAAUAUGCUGUGACUGAAUUACGAAACAAGCUUUGAAAGUGCCAAGGCAGAGUCAUGGAUUGAAUUGUAUCCUCCACAAAAGACACACUCAAGUCCUGUGAUGUGAACGCCCUGUCCUGUGAAUGUGAACAUAUUUGUAACUAGGAUCUUCGAAGAUGUUGUUAGUUAAGAUGAGGCCAACUGGAUGGAGGUGGGUCCUAAUCCAGUAUCACUGGCAUUCUUAUAAGGAGAGGAAAUUUGGACACAGAGAAAGAGACAGAGAGAGAGAGACGGCCAUGUGACAGAGGCAGAGACUGAGUUACACCGCCAUAAGACAAGGAAUGCCAUGGAUUGCCUGAGACACGCCAAAAGCCAGGGGAGAGGCAUGGAAGGGAGUCUCCCCUUUAAGAAGAUUUUGAACUUCUAGUCUCCAGAACUCUGAGACAAAAAUGUCUGUUGUUUAAGCCAACUAAUUUGUGGUACUUUGACAGUGCUGGAAAACCAAGACAGGUGGUAAAGGGGGAAAAUGAUUAUUUUGCCUAAUUAGAAAAAUGCUUGAAAUUCAGCUGGUUCCAGCUUGUAAAAGACAAACUUGUGUCUUUGCCCCCUUCCAAUGCCCCAUGACACCCUAGUUGCCCUACUGUCAUUGGCACAGUCAAAACAAGCCCGAUUCUCCCUUCCUGGGCCUCUACUAAUGCCUCCUAGUAUCCAUAUUUUCAGCCGGAAUUAUAUUCUCUACCCUCAUCCUUCCUUUGGCACAACAGCUCCCCAGGGACUGGCAAUGCUCCAGUAUUUUCUGUUGGCACUGGUCCCUGCUUACCUUGGCCUGGCCCUUCAUCAGCACGAUGUUGGAGAUGACCGAAGCCUGCAAGCCCCCAGAUGGCUGCACAAGCUGAGCUGUGCUCAGCGACCGUGUCGGUCUUGACAUGCCCUGUGGUGAGGAAGCAGGAUGGACAGAAGACUCUUAAGAUUGUUUCCACUUUAAACAUUGUAUGACUUGAAGACUCAUCAGUGCUGAGGGCUUUCCUUUCUGCAUUCCUUGUGCCGAAGUAGCUGGGUGGUCCCUCCUCACUGAGAUGUGAGAUGCUGCAAGGUGGAACCAGGAGCCCGGGCUGCUGACUCCCAUGCCCAUGCUGUCUGCACAACACCUGAGCAAGGAGAUGGGAGGGCACAGGGGAGGAGAGCAUGGGCUCUGGUGUUGCCUGAGUUCAUAUGUUGCUGCUGUGCCACCUACUUAUUACAUAACCUUGGGAAGGUCAUUUAGCUUCUCUGAGCCUUUGUUUCCUCAUCUUUAAAAUGCAGAUAAUAACAAUACUUACCUCUUUGGGUUGUUGCUAUAACUGAAUAAAUGAAUCCACAUAAAACACAUAGCUCAAUGCCUGGCAGGUAGUAAACAUGGAAUGCAUAUUUGCUUUUAUUACUAACAUUCCUUAGCUAACCAACUCGUCCUCCUCUUCCCUGGCUUACCCUCCCUCUUACAGGUUGCAGCUGCUUGCACCUGGUUGGCUGAUCUCAAAGGCACCCAGGAAUUAUCCCAGGUCCCAUAGACUAAGACAUUCCCAGGUUAUCCAGCCACUGUGGAUCCCACCGUCCCUGCCUUCUUUACGGCAACAACCCUUCUCUAAUAAUCCCCUUGCUGCCUCCCAUGGAGUGGCUGUUCUGAGGACAAAAUGAAACCAUUCAUGGACAUCCAAGUGCUCCCUAAGCUUUGAGAGGUAAAUGAGGAAAGGCAAUAAAUAUGCCUCCCACACUGCUCCCCAAGGCAGAUGCUGCUAAUCAACUGAAACUCUCUUUUCAGGGUGGCCCCUCAGUCCUUUUCAACACAGCCCUCCAGGAAGCCCUUUCUUGUUAGCCUCAUGGCCUCCUGUCCCCAGGGACCUGGAAUCCUAAUGUAAAAGACAGUAAAGACAGGAGGUCAGCUAAGUCUCACCUGCACACAAUCCUUCACAACCCAGUGCUGGCUGCAGAUGUUCUAGGAUUUCCAGGAUGCUCCCAUGUGGCCCCAGAUACCGAAAAACCAAGUAGUGGGAAAAUUCUCUGUGCUCAGGGAGUCACUCGAGAAGCCAUCUUUCUGACACUGGGAUACCAAUGUUCCCAGUUUGCCAGUGGAAAACACAGUGGCUUAGGGAAUGGAAAGGAAGAGGGAAAUGAAGUUUAUUAAGCACCUGCUGUGUACCAUGCAGGGAGAAUCAAACAUCACUUGACUAUGAACCUGCCCUUGGAGAGCUCAUGGUCUUCUGGGGAGAGAAGACGCUAACAAAUAAUGACAUAGCAAGACAAUGUUUGGUGAGCCCUGAAAGAGAAGUAAAGAUGCCUCAUGAUGAACCUUCAUCACAAUGCUAGGUCCAUGCAAUUGGAGGGAUUAGGAGAGCUUCUGGGCAAGAAGGAGUGUUGGGAAGGUCCUUGAGGAUAGGAUAGUUUCUAGAGAUAGAGAUAAGAAAAAUAGGUGCAAGACGUGGCAGAUAGAGAGCAUUACAUGAUCAUUAAGUGGGAAGUUCCACUGGCAGGAGCUUAGGACAAGAGGAGCAGGCAUCAAGGCAGUCUGGGGUAAUAUGUGCAAGGGACUCUGUGCUUCCUAUCUGCUUAGCUCCCAACCUGCAAGCUGAUGCCCUGUGGUGGGAAGAGCCCAGACUACGGCAUCCCACAGGGCUUGGUUCAAAUUCUGGGCACUUAGGUUUUCAGAAAUAUGAACUCAGACAGCUACUCACUUUGCCGAGCCUCAGCUUCCUCACUGUAAGAUGGGGAUAAUAUUACAUCACUUGGAAACUUGUUUUACAAUUAGAGGCAAUGUUUGUAAAGUGAGUCACUGUAUCAUAGGGGUUGAAAGCACAGGCUUUGGAGUCAUAGGUCUGGCUUCAGGUACCAACUCUGCCUCUUACUAGCAAUGUAAACUAGCAUAAAUUCCUCAGCUUUCCCAAGCCCCAGUUCUCGUCUUCCUCUUAGGGUUGUUGUACAGAGUCAAUGAAGCCCUAUACAGGGCUUGCACGUAUGCAGUGCUCUCUCUGUUAGCUUUUAAUAGCAUAGAAGUGGUAGCAGUUGCAAGUUUCUGGCACAAGGGGGCGCUCUGCAAAUGAGCGUUACUAACGUGGUUCUUAGCCUAGAGGUGGCUGUAGUGGCGAACUGUGUCCCUGUUCUCUGUAAUUUGUGGGCCUGAGACCACUGAGGAAAGCCUUUUUAGCCACUGCUAAGUUGGGACCCUCCUCCUUUCCCUCUUCUUCCAUUCCCCCUCCCUUCAUUCUUACCACAGCCUUUCCUGCUGGGCAGUCCAGUUGUUGAGAGAGGGACUUCCUGUUACUACAGAGAGAAUAAGGCUGCCUGUCUGUGGAAGUUGCAGAGUUCUUGGUCAUUGGAAAAUCAAUUUCUCCUGUGCAGUAGGGAUUAACACCUAAACCGGGAGGGGAAAAAGAAGAAGAAAUCAUUUGUGCUCUCAAAAUACAAAGCUCAACUGGGAACAUUAUCAGCCUCUGCUGACUGCCAGGGGCCAGAGUGAACAUAAACCACUUAGUGUCCAGUGCCAGGUGCAUGGUGGGAAGAGGUGGCCGUGGGUGACAUGGGAAGCAUUUUCACUAUCUCCUUAUAUGCUUUCUGCACUGCAGGGUGCAGAGAAGACUCUCACAUCCUUCUCACUUCAAUUCAACUCAGCAUCUCCUACGUCUCAGGCGGUGUGCUAGACUCUCAGGAAGGCACAGUGCUAAGUCAAAUCCAGUCCUUGCUAUGCGAAUUUUCAAUACCAAACAAGGAGAGAAAGGAGGCAAGUGCAGAGGGUUCCCAGGACAGGCACAAACCAAAGGCUGCACAGGGAUGAACUUGGCAGGAACCUGGGAGGUCUGUCAGAGCAACAGCCAACUUCCUGAAAGGAUCUAAGCACUUCUUUUUAUUUUUUUUAUUGUUGAGGCAAAAUUCACAUAACAUAAAAUUAACCAUUUUAAUGUGUGUAAUUCUGUGGCAUUUAUUACAUUCACAAUGUUGUGCAACCACCACUUUAAUCUAGUCCUAAAAUAUUUUCAUCACCCCGAAAGAAAACCUUGCAACCACAACCCCUGGCAACCACCAAUCUUUUAGUCGUUGUUCACUUACCUGUUCUGCAUAUUUCAGAGAUUAGCUAUUAUAGCCUCUCAUUGUCUAGACCAGCACUGUCCAGUUCAAAUAUAAUGCAAGCUACAAAUGUGAGCCACAUAUGUAAUUUAAUAUUUUCAGUAGCCACACAUAAAAAAGUAAAAAGGAAAUAAGUGAAAUUAAUUUUAAUAAUAUAUUUUGUUUAGUCCAAUGCACCUGUUAUUUCAAUAAUCAUAAAAAUUAUUAAUGAGAUAUUUUACAUCCUACUGUCCCUCAGCUCAAGUGAAUGGGCAAGGCUUUUGUGGAAAAUUCCCUGAGAGGAAGAAGCAAGACUAAUUCAGAGGGAAUGGAGGUUGGAGCAGGGUUUUGGGUUUGCUUUUAUUCUUCUGUAUAGGAAAGACUUUUUAGGCUGAAAAGAAGCUAAAGAGAGGAAGCCACUGGCCAGGGUAGGUUAAAAAAAGGGAACAGAAUAGGUAUUCCUGAGGGUGUGAGAUCCCUAAAGGGGAGAAGAGAACAGGGACAAAGCAUGGUGGAGAAAGGAGAGGUCUUGGUCCCCCAGGGCUCAGAAAGUGGCUGGGGAAAUAUUUCCCCUCUAGGACAGCUGCUCCAUGUGCAGGUAGGAAGUCCUCCCUGACUUACAGAUACCAACUGCUCCCAGAUGGACCAGAAACAAAUGCAUUGGAAAACCAUGAAUUGGAAAGAGGAGACAGACUCAUGGAACAGGGUUAAAGAAGGUGACUAGAAAUUCUUUAAUCCUAAAUCUGCCGGUGCAUCAUAUUUAUCUGAAGUGUUUUAUAAAAACAUUUUGUAAAAAACUAACUCAGACCUCCUGAAUCAAUUUCUCCACUGGGGAUCUCUAUUUUUAUAAGGCUCCCCAGGUGAUGCAGCCAGCCUAUCAUCAGUUUGGGGACUGCCUGAUAAAACUCCUUACUUUAUCAGUGAGGAAGUGGAGGCUCAGGGGUUUCCAGAACCAUGAAUGAAAGAGUCAGAGCCAUAACCCAAGCCUCCUGGAUCCGAGUCCUGCCCUCUUGGCCCCCAUGCAAUGUAGUGUGACCUGUAAUCUGGAGGAGGGCAGCAGUGCAUGGUUGGGGCUUGGAGGGAAUAAGGGCAGGGUCUGGGGACAAACAAACUGCCAUCUUGGAGUGGCUGGCAGAGCAGAUCCACCUCAGAGAUGUGGGAAAGUGGAGUGGGAACAAGUCAGGCUGCUCCCAGCUCCUCUUCUGCCUACACCGACCCAAGCAACCCUCAAGCUUUGGGUGGAUCCUAUUUCAAUUGUGGGUUUAAAUCAUUGAGAAGAGCCAGAGUCAGGGCAGAGCAGGGUUUCCAAAGUUCUCACUGGUCUGAGCCCUCACCUCUUUCUGAAAAUUACCCAUGGAUGUGCUCCAGCUGACCAGGAAAUAUACUGAAACUAUCAUCUCAAGUUGGGGGAAUUAAAACCAGUUAAACAUUUAGUACGGAGUGAGUUCAUUGAAAAUAUGGUUAUAAAAUCCAAUGCAAAAAGCCAAAAUAACUUUUGAAAGGGAAGUUGUGUAUUAUGAUUACAUAACAAUGAUGACGUUGAUGAUGAUGAAUUUGUAAUUUAAGGUUAAGAUAAAUUAUGAAAUGGAGAAAGAAAUGGGAAGAGACACUGGAGAUGAAUAAAAUCAUUGUAAAUUCCUCAUUUUCAUAAAGGGGACAGUUUGGAAAAUAUAGCCUGAAGUAUAAACAAUUAAAUAAAAUAUACAGUUAAUUGAACCUAAUGGAAACAAAAAAUCAAGAUAAAAAUCAAACACAUCUUUCAAGUCACUGCAAAAACUACACACACACACACACACACACACACACACACACACUCACAUACACAAACAACCAAAACAUAGCUCAUAUAGCAAGAGGCAGAAGACAAAGUAAUGGCAAGUGACCAUGAAAACAUAAAAUAGAAAAAGAGAUAAGAGCAAAUAUUAUUUAUAAUAUUAAUGCAGUGGCUUGAGGUUCUCUCUUAAAAGAGAUUCCCAAAUUUGCUUUCAAGAUCUAACUAUAAACCAUUUCGAAGAUACAAACAAAAUAAACAAAAAAAUUAAGAGGAUGGGCAGGAAGAAAUUAUCAAUAAGUGACACUAGAAUCAUUCACCAGCCAUUUAGGAUUAAAAAAUUGAUCUAGGUGAUCAUAUCAAACCCAAAAAUCAAAUUACAGAUAUAAUAUGUUUGGGAACACAGAGGCAAACACUAGAAGAAAUUAUAGCCAAAUAUUUAUUCAUUCUCUGGAUAUGUAAGAAACUUCCAAGUUAAUAAGGAAAAGAGCAGUAAAUAUGAUUAGAUACAGAUUAAAACAUCUUCAUGUAAAAAUAAACACUUAAAAACAACAAAAUGGUGAAUAUUUUCAACAAAUAUGGCAGCCAAACAUUAAUUUAACCAAGAGUUUUGGGUUUUUUAAAUAAAUUAAUGAGAAAACAGUGAUUAUCCCAAUAGAAAAAUAGGGAAUUUCACUAAAGAAAGGAAGGAAGGGAGGAAGGGAGAGAGGAAGGAAGAAAAACAUGUUGCACUCCACCAGUAUGGAACGGUACUCUUCUCCACCCAUCAUAUCAGUCACAAUUUUGGCAAGAAACAGAAGGUACACUCAGCUGGGAUUUUGAGAAGACUUUAAUGAAGGGCCAUUUAUGGAGAGGCAGGCCAGGUUAAGGAAAAUAACAAGGGCUACCGAGGCACCUAAGAACCAAGCAAUGGCAGGAAGCUGUUACCACUGCAGACUGGAAGGGAUAAAAGAGGAUCUGGUGUUACCAGAGCCCAGUGAGAGCUGAAACCGUGGAAGGCAGGCCACCUUGACAGGAUAUUCAGUUACAGAGGGACACCACCACUGGAAGAACUGCAGCUCCGAGGCUGAGGGAAGAAGGGAAGAAACACCCCAGCAGCUCUCUCCUCCCUUCCUCCAAUCUCCUCUUGAUGCUUCCCUUUCCACUGGUUUAACUCAACCAGAAACCAGGAAGCCUGGGUAAUGUUUUCUGAAGGGGUCAGCACCCAGGGUGCAAGCCAGGCCAGCUUCAUGGGCAUUGCACCUGCCAGUCACACAGGGCUUGGAACUUAGAGGGACCCCAUGCUUAGUUUAAUGCUCUGCUAUUGCCAUUUUGAAAUUCUUAAUAAUUUUUGAACAAGGGCUCCACAUUUUCAUAGUGUGCUGAGCCCUGCAAAUUAUGUAGCCAGCCCUGGGUGCAGAGCAGAAAAAAGCAGAGAAUGGAUGGGGGAGAAGGGGAAUAUAGAAAAACCUAUAUAACAAAAAAUUUUUAAAAUUAUAAUCCAGUGUGUAGACUAUGGUUGAAGAAAUAAGCAUGCACAUACAUUACUAGAGAAGUGUUAGUUUGUGAAAUUUGACAGUACAGUUGAAAAGCCUUUAUCUAUACUACCUUUGGGCCCAAAAUCCAAUUCUGAGAAAUUAUGCUAAAGGGAAAAACAGUGAAAAUUUAUGAUAGAAAAGCAAUUAGCGAUCCAAAAAUAGGAGCUGAUUAAUUUAAUGAUGAUGCAACCUACAACAAAAUAGAGUGCAGCUUAGAGAGUUUAAGGGAAUUGUUCAAGGCCACACAGAUAAUUAGUGCUGGAAGCAAGAUCCAAAACCAAAGACUUUGACUCCCAAAUGUGAACUCUUAACCAUGGCACUACUCUACUGUCUCUUAUAUUACUCUAAGGAAAUCUCAAACAAAAUUUCAUAUACAAACUCAGCAGUGUUGACUAUGUUAGUGAAAAACUGAGAAUAACUUAAAUAUCUAAUAAGAGAGAGUUGGUUAACUAGAUGAUACAUUCAUACAAUGAAAUCCCAUGCAUCCACUAAAAAUGAUGUUUACAAAGAUUUUCCAAUGACAAGGAAAAGUGUGUGUGUGUGUGUGUGAGAGAGAGAGAGAGAGUUUUCUAUAGGUAUAGGAGGGAAAUAAUUGACUGAAAUUGUCUCUAAUAUUGGGAUUUGGUGUGACUUAAUUUCUUCAUGCUUUUCUGUACUCUUCAAAUUUCAUGAUUUUGCAUUAGCACUAUUCUAUUUGGAGCAACCAAGAAUAGUGAGAUCUUCCAGCUUCAAUCCACAUAUCAUAUUAUAAAUGAGGUGACAGAGGCCCAGGGAGAGAGAGAGAGACUGCUCUCCCCAGAUCAAGGAGCAUCUUGGAAGAUAGACCAGGAGUCAAGCCCAUGUCUCCUGUCCUCCAUGCCUAGGUGUUUCUACUGUGGCACUUGGAGUUCAUCUGGAGGAGGAACUCUAAAUUCAAUGAAGAAUGCCCUCAGAGAGGCAAGCACACCACAAUUGUGGUUUAGUCCAAAUGGACCAGCAGAGAUCCAACCUCCUCCAAAUCUCUCAACAUCACUAAUGCCCUGAUAGUCAGGAACAGAUAAACUCUGUUCCUGAAAGCAUUUUAAUGAGACACUUACUGGUUGAAUUGCUGCGUGUCCUUUGGUGACAGGCUUUGGGGGACAUGAAGUUAUUAUUUUGUGCUUCUGGUUUUCCAGGCUUUUCUCUAGAGGAAGUUGUGGAAGACUCCUGCAAAACAAUUUCCAUAUCUUUUAUUCAGCAAGUAAGGAUAGAAAAAUAUACUUAAAAAACUGGGUUUUUUGACACUGACCAUGGAAGUACUUGAAUUGUCUGUCUUCCCCACUAAAUUACUGGCAGAGAUUUAUAAUCACUGCCAUUCAGAGAAAAGCAAAAUAAAAACCACAAUGAGAUAUCAUUUUACACCCAUUAGAAUGGCUGCUGUUAAAAAAUAACAGAAAAUAACAAGUGUUGGAGAGGAUGUGGAGAAAGAGGAACACUCAUUCAUUGCUGGUGGCAAUGGAAAAUGGUGCAGCAACUGUGAAAGAGUUUGGUGGUUCCUUUGAAAGCUAAAUAUUCAACUACCAUAGGACCUGGCAAUCCCACUACUAGGUAUAUACCCAAAGAAUUGAAAGCAGGACCUAGAACAAUAGUGUUAUUAUUCACAAUUGCCAAAAGAUGGAAACAAACCCAAGGGUCCAUCAAUCAAUGAAUGGAUAAUUAAAAAAUUGUAUGAUCCACUGCUUUGGAACAAUUAGACUAAUUAAACUCAUAGAGUCAGAAUCUAGAACAUAGAUUACCAGGGAUUGGGUGGGGAUAGGGAAUGAGAAGUUAAGGCUUAAAAUG